AGUCAGCCGGCCGGCCAGUCAGUCAGUCGGUCGGCGCCGCCCGCCGCGCCGCGAGGAGAGGCGCUAUAAAUACGGCGCCGGGGAUGGGAGCCGUGCUGCGGGCGGCGGCUGUGGGCUGACGGCGAAGGGCGGCUCCGGAGCGCGGGAGUGAUGGCAGCAGCGGUGCUGGGAAGCGCUAGAACUGACAGAUGACUGUAAGUGCACUGCACGUGGCCUGAUGCUGGCAAGCUGUCCGAGCCCCUCUGUGCUGCAGGUGUGGACGAGCAGCAGCAUGAAGGUUUUUUCCAUUCCCUGCCAGAGAUGUGCUGCUGUAUCCAUUGCUACUUGGGAGCAGCUAAGAAGCCUGUGACCAGCCUGCUGAGCUCUGCAUUGGCAGACCCUCCUGCCGAGUGGGUUGCAUCUCUCCUCUGACUCCUCUCCAGAGCGCAGGGCCCUUCUGCUGCUCCAAAGGGCUUGUUGUGGUCAACACCAGUGGGAAACAGCAUGCUAGGUGCUACAUUCCAAAGAGCUCAAGUAUCUUAGAUGAUAAUAUGCAGAAGGGAAGAAGCAAGACCACAGUGGAUUAUAACCUGCCAUAAAAUCUGAGCAGGCUGCCAGAAAGGUGAGCGCUGCAAACGCAGUGCAUGCAUUUUUCCUUAUUUCUCGUUGUCACUUUCAGAUGCAAAGAGGUACCCAAAUGUUGUAGUGCUGAAGCUGCAAAUCAUUUUUGCUCUGGAUCACAGACUUGCAUGACCAGUUUGGGUCAAAAUAUUUUAAGGAAUUAAAUUAUAUACUCCUUUCCAAAAGGAAAUUUGCAAAUAGGAAUGCAGUAAUUGUAUACCUUCUUGUUAGCGGUCAACUGCCAGAAUCAACACCCUUUAUAAGUAGUAUUCCUUCUACUGUCAGACUUAUACUUACUUGAUCCAGAGGGAAGGAAUGAGGAAAACACCUUCUAGUUCUUGUGCUUGUGAAUUUUGUUCUGUAAGAGAUGGCACAGAAGCAGCUUGGAGAGAUAACAAGGGCCUGUGUAUUAAAUCACAGGGCAGCAAAUGAGCCUGCCUAAUGAUGUUUGUAAGGUUUGUCAUAGUACCAAUUAGGGUGUUGUACCUUUUUAUCAUGUUUAUCUACAUACAUAUGAAUCUAAUGUAAUUCUUUUCUCUUUGUUCUGCUCUGUCUUACCUUAGCAACUGCAGGCUGCAAACAACAGAGUUGACAACCCACAGACGUAGACACAGUACUUAGGACUGAGCCUUUUCAAACACAUCUCCCAUUUCAUCUGUAUUUGAACUGGAAAGGCAGGCAGAGUGUCUGCAGCAACAACUCAGAGCACAGCACAGCAGCGUGGCAAUCCCCUUGCUGUUGGAUUGCUGCUUUGUCAUUGACGUAUGUCAAAAAAAGGGGAAUAGUGGAGCACCCUCUCCCUGCUCCUUAACAGCAGGGCUGCUGCCCAUGUACAAAGGCUUUCCACCAAAUAUGGAGCAGAAGAGAUUGAUCAGAGGCCCAUGCUGACGGCAUUUGUGGUUUAUCACAACACCUGGAGGCUGGCAGAUUAGAGACCUGCCAAGUCAGCACUUGUCUGCCAACAAGCAGAUGUGGCAUGGAUGGAGGCUGCGUGAAUGCGGAGAUUAGAUACGCUGGAUAGACUACACCCCUUCAGUUUUUUCUAUGGGUCUAUAGGAAGCCUCUCUGGCCAGCUGCUUUCACUUACACUGCACUCAACUGAGGCUCUAUUGACAUCUGAGAGUGAUUAUUUUUUUUUCAGGUGUGAAGAGAUUUUUUUAGCUUUCCAAUAUUUUGGUGUAACAUCCUGCUCCCCUUGUCUCUUUUGCAGGUAGAUGAUCUAAAUGCAGACCCAAAGAGACAGAAGGUUCUGAUUAAACAUCAGCAAAAGCAUUUUUUUAUC